CGCAAGUAAAGAGCUUUGAAUACCUUUAGUCCCCCAAAUCAGUUGUUGUGAUGAAACGACGAGAUCUUUAGACUCUAAAUUCUCUUAUUCAGGCGCGGGAUGAAAGAGAUCUGGAGUAGAUCAAUAGUAGCUGUGCAAGGUUCGUAGCCAUGGAUUUUUUGAGCGGGAAAUGUGAGCUGUUCUCCUCCCUUCCUCGCCCACAUAAACAGCCAACGAUCCCUUUGGAACAUCUGAUGGUGGAGAGGAUUUCCUUCGCAAGUAGCUUGUGCUGCGAUUUCUUGUAAAGCCUGUGUUGGGAUCCAAGGAA